rnacentral:miRNA from 1 species
GUGGAGUGGAGAGAGGGACAGAGAGCCUGCUUGCUUUAAAGGAGCAAAGCAGGAGAGGAGAAGAGCCGCUUACACUCAUAAGCGGCUCCUGUCCGGUUGGUUCCUUUAAAGCAAGCAGGCUCUCUGUCCCUCUCCUCCCCACU